CUCCAGGGCCAUACCACCCUGAACACCCCCGAUCUUGUCUGAUCUUGGAAGCUAAACAGGGUUGGGCCUGAUUAGUAUUUGGAUGGGAAACAAGGUUCUUGUAAAUAGAUACUUAGGAGG
ensembl:rRNA 5S_rRNA 5S ribosomal RNA